CUCUGGUAUUGAUUGGUGCUUGCAUCAUGAUUUACAUUUGAGUGAGUGGCGAACUGGUGAGUAACACGUGGGAAACCUGCCCAGAAGCGGGGGAUAACACCUGGAAACAGAUGCUAAUACCGCAUAACAACUUGGACCGCAUGGUCCGAGCUUGAAAGAUGGCUUCGGCUAUCACUUUUGGAUGGUCCCGCGGCGUAUUAGCUAGAUGGUGGGGUAACGGCUCACCAUGGCAAUGAUACGUAGCCGACCUGAGAGGGUAAUCGGCCACAUUGGGACUGAGACACGGCCCAAACUCCUACGGGAGGCAGCAGUAGGGAAUCUUCCACAAUGGACGAAAGUCUGAUGGAGCAACGCCGCGUGAGUGAAGAAGGGUUUCGGCUCGUAAAACUCUGUUGUUAAAGAAGAACAUAUCUGAGAGUAACUGUUCAGGUAUUGACGGUAUUUAACCAGAAAGCCACGGCUAACUACGUGCCAGCAGCCGCGGUAAUACGUAGGUGGCAAGCGUUGUCCGGAUUUAUUGGGCGUAAAGCGAGCGCAGGCGGUUUUUUAAGUCUGAUGUGAAAGCCUUCGGCUCAACCGAAGAAGUGCAUCGGAAACUGGGAAACUUGAGUGCAGAAGAGGACAGUGGAACUCCAUGUGUAGCGGUGAAAUGCGUAGAUAUAUGGAAGAACACCAGUGGCGAAGGCGGCUGUCUGGUCUGUAACUGACGCUGAGGCUCGAAAGUAUGGGUAGCAAACAGGAUUAGAUACCCUGGUAGUCCAUACCGUAAACGAUGAAUGCUAAGUGUUGGAGGGUUUCCGCCCUUCAGUGCUGCAGCUAACGCAUUAAGCAUUCCGCCUGGGGAGUWCGGCCGCAAGGCUGAAACUCAAAGGAAUUGACGGGGGCCCGCACAAGCGGUGGAGCAUGUGGUUUAAUUCGAAGCUACGCGAAGAACCUUACCAGGUCUUGACAUACUAUGCAAAUCUAAGAGAUUAGACGUUCCCUUCGGGGACAUGGAUACAGGUGGUGCAUGGUUGUCGUCAGCUCGUGUCGUGAGAUGUUGGGUUAAGUCCCGCAACGAGCGCAACCCUUAUUAUCAGUUGCCAGCAUUAAGUUGGGCACUCUGGUGAGACUGCCGGUGACAAACCGGAGGAAGGUGGGGAUGACGUCAAAUCAUCAUGCCCCUUAUGACCUGGGCUACACACGUGCUACAAUGGAUGGUACAACGAGUUGCGAACUCGCGAGAGUAAGCUAAUCUCUUAAAGCCAUUCUCAGUUCGGAUUGUAGGCUGCAACUCGCCUACAUGAAGUCGGAAUCGCUAGUAAUCGCGGAUCAGCAUGCCGCGGUGAAUACGUUCCCGGGCCUUGUACACACCGCCCGUCACACCAUGAGAGUUUGUAACACCCAAAGUCGGUGGGC
rnacentral:rRNA from 2 species